rnacentral:rRNA from 1 species
AAUUUUGUACAAUGGGGGAAACCCUGAUCCAGCCAUCCCGCGUGUAUGAUGAAGGCCUUCGGGUUGUAAAGUACUUUUGUCAGAGAAGAAAAGGUAUCCCCUAAUACUGGAUACUGCUGACGGUAUCUGCAGAAUAAGCACCGGCUAACUACGUGCCAGCAGCCGCGGUAAUACGUAGGGUGCAAGCGUUAAUCGGAAUUAAUGGGCGUAAAGCGAGUGUAGGCGGUUCGGAAAGAAAGAUGUGAAAGCCAAGGGCUCAACCUUGGAACUGCAUUUUUAAAUGCAGAGCUAGAGUAUGUAAGAGGGGAGUAGAAUUCCACGUGUAGCAGUGAAAUGCGAAGAUAUGUGGAGGAAUACCGAUGGCGAAGGCAGCCCCCUGGGAUAAUACUGACGCUCAGAAACGAAAGCGUGGGGAGCAAACAGG